rnacentral:rRNA from 1 species
GAUGAACGCUGGCGGCGUGCCUAAUACAUGCAAGUCGAGCGAACGGACGAGAAGCUUGCUUUUCUGAUGUUAGCGGCGGACGGGUGGGUAACACGUGGAUAACCUACCUAUAAGACUGGGAUAACUUCGGGAAACCGGAGCUAAUACCGGAUAAUAUUUUGAACCGCAUGGUUCAUAAGUGAAAGACGGUCUUGCUGUCACUUAUAGAUGGAUCCGCGCUGCAUUAGCUAGUUGGUAAGGUAACGGCUUACCAAGGCAACGAUGCAUAGCCGACCUGAGAGGGUGAUCGGCCACACUGGAACUGAGACACGGUCCAGACUCCUACGGGAGGCAGCAGUAGGGAAUCUUCCGCAAUGGGCGAAAGCCUGACGGAGCAACGCCGCGUGAGUGAUGAAGGUCUUCGGAACGUAAAACUCUGUUAUUAGGGAAGAACAUAUGUGUAAGUAACUGUGCACAUCUUGACGGUACCUAAUCAGAAAGCCACGGCUAACUACGUG